rnacentral:lncRNA from 1 species
GAGUAGCCCUAGAGGCCUAACGCUUGAGGUCACCUUCAUGGUUUUUCCAGUGACCUUGGCCAUUAAUGAGCUCCCACCGCUUCCCCAGCUGCAGCUGUAUUAUAGCGCCAGAGUCUUCCAAGCCUGCAGGUUGUGCCAAGCCUGGAGGGAUUUGCAAAAGAAACAUUUGCCUACACCAAGAUCAUGAAGAUGUUUUCUUCUAGAGGAUUUCUAGUUUUAGCUCUUUAUGUUUAAAUUGAGGGAAACUAAAUGUAUGGCCUUAAGGAGCUGUUCCAGCCUGAGACUAUACACCAGCAGAAAGAAACUCACAGCACUGAAAAUAUUGUUCUCCGCCCUCCCUCAUCCCUCUUCCUUCUGAAUGGGAAAAAAGAGUAAGAAGCUUUUCCCUCCAGCUGAAAGCAAAGGAGUACUCUAGCCCUCUGUGAUAGCUGAUGGCAGCAUCUUUGGUGGCUCUCCCAGAGAGGCUGCUCUCUUUGCUGGAAUUUGCCUUGUUCUCUCCUCACUGCUGAAGCACUGUCACUGCGUCCUAAAAAAACACCACAGUAUCCGUAAGACGUUGCCUGUCAUUGGAGGUUUGCUCCUUCUCUCUAUCUCAGACAGGAUUCAAUGAAGAAAACAGAAGCCACUGUAUGUACUCCAGGUGUUUAAAGUUUUAAUUUAGAGAAUUAAGGGUAUACUGAAAUAUUGCAAGACCUGGGGUAGUGGAGGUCAGGUAAGCUGACACCAAAGACCUCAUCCCAAAACACUCAAAGAGUGGUACAUGUCCCACACUUGUGGGCAGCAGCAAGCAUGAUUGUUCCCAAAUCUCAACUCCUUACAGAUCUGGCUGUAACUACCCCUGAAGAACAAAGACCUUUCCCCCACCUCUGUCCUAAUCUCAGGAGAGCUUCUCAUUUGCAAACUCUAACCAGGAAUCAGACAGGGACAGAGUUCAGGGAAGUAUUCCUGGCUUUGCUUCCCUCUGCAGAAGGGACUUUGGCUUUGAGGGAGGUCCUGGGGUUGGUGGUAAUGCCAAGUUGACCUUGGACAAUCCAGCACUCUCUAAGGAUGGCUCCAGCCCCUCGAGGGGAGUCAGCACCCUCUGAAUAGCAUUUUCAGGCCUCUCCCAGGAAGCUGGGGCUUGGAGUGGGAGUGUCCCCCCAGGAGAGUGGCAGAGGCAGGAUGAUUCAGGGUCAGCCCAAACCUUACAGAUAUUCCCCGAGGUGGCCAACGCAACCAUGAGCAAGAGCCGAGGCCUUAGCCAACAAGACAAUGGAGGGCAGCUCAUAUGAAGGGCAAAGCAAAGGCCAAAGUGAGAGAAGUAAGCGCUGUGACAUGGAGACCAGCUCAGGAUAGGAUAGAUGGCUCAGGAACCAGGCUGUUAAGGAGAGAAUACUCAGCAUUUCUGAGAACACGGCAGUUCGAGGACCCGUGCUGGUCUGGGCCCGCUCCCCCAGCCCCUGAUGGGGGCCUGUGUGCUCUGCAAAGAGCUGUGCCCUGUGAUGGGGGGUCUGUGACCUGGGAGGGAAUACACUCAAUCUCACAUGGGUUGUGGAAGCCUGUGCUCCCCCCACAGCCAGGGAAGAUCAUGAGCUGCUUUGUGAGUGUGAGACAUUACAGAUACAACAGCCAAUUGACUCAAACAAAACUAUUGCAGGAAAGAAAAGGCUUUCUGAAUUAUGGAGUGCUGUGGGCUGAGUUGUGGACCCCCAAAAUUUAUAUGUUGAAGUCCUACCCCUAGUGCCUCAGAAUGUUCCUUUAUUUGGAGAUAGGGUCUGAUAGAGUUUAGUUAUUUGUCCCCCCAAAUCUCAUGUUGAAAUGUAGUCCCCAGUGUGGAAGGUGGGGCCUGGUGGGAGGUGAGUGGCUCGUGGAGGAGGAUUUCUCAUGAUUGGUUCAGCCCCAUCCUCAUGGUGCAGUCCUCAUGACGGUGAGUGAGUUCUCGUGAGAUCGGGUGGGUUGAAAGUGUGUGGCCCCUCCUUCUCCUUCUCUUGCACCUGCUUUGGCCAUGAGAUCUGCCUGCUCCACUUGCCUUCCGCCCUGAGUAAAAGCUCCCUGAGGCCUCCCCAGAAGCUGAGUAGAUGCCAUAGCCAUGCUUCCUGUACAGCCCACAGAACCGUGAGCCAGUUAAACCUCUUUCCUUGAUAAGUUACCUACCCUCAGGUAUUUCUUUAUAGCAGCGCAAGAACAGACUCAUACAGGAUCACUGCAUGUGGAAUCAGGUAAGACAAGGUCAUACUGGAGUAGGAAAGGGGUUAAUCCAAUAUGACUGGUGUCCUUAAAAAAUGGGAAAUUCAUCGAGGGCAGAUUGGAUAAAGGAAAUGUUGUACAUAUACACUAUGGAAUACUUCACAGCUAUAAAAAAGGAGAAGAUUAUGUCCUUUGCAGGUACAGGAAUGGAGCUAGAGGUCAUCAUCCUUAGCAAACUAAUGCAGGAACAGAAAACCAAAUGCCACAUGUUCUCACUUAUAAGUUGAAGGUAAAUAAUGAGAACACGUGGACACAUAGAGGGGAAUAGCACACACUGGGGCCUACUUGAGGGUAGAAGGUGGGAGGAAGGAGAGGAUCAGAAAAAACGAUUGGUUACUAGGCUUACUACCUGGUUGAUGAAAUAAUCUGUACAGCAAACCCCAGUAUCAAGAGUUUACCUAUAUAACAAAACUGCACAUGUACCCCUGAACCUAAAAUAAAAGCUUUUUAUAAAAAGAAAAGAAAAAGGGCUGGGCAUGAUGGCUCACACCUGUAAUCCCAGGACUUUAGGACACCCAGGUGGGUGGACUGCUAAGCUCAGGAGUUCAAGACCAGCCUAGGCAACAUUGCGAAACCCCGUCUCUACAAAAAUUAGCCAGGCAUGGUGGCAUGUACCUGAAGUCCCAUCUACUUGCAGGGCUGAGGCCAGAGGAUCGCUUGAACCCAGGAGGUGGAGAUUGUAGUGAGUUGUAUUUGUGCCACUGCACUCCAGCCUCGUUGACAGAGCAAGGGCAAGACCUUUUCUUUAAAAAAAAAAAAAGAAAGAAAGAAAAGAAAAAGAAAAGACAAGAAAAGAAAAGAAAAGGAUAUAAUCAGCCAAAUUCAAAAUGUGUGAAAUGCUACAAGGUAAGUGAACUAAUUUUUUCCAAUAAAUAAAUGAUAAGAAAAAAGAGAGAAGAGGAAACUACUAUAGAUUUUAAGAAAUUUAAGACAUAUCAACCAAACACAAUGUGUACAUAGACCUUGUUGAGAUCCUGAACAAAUUGACUUUUGGGGAAAUGUGAACACUGAGUAGCUAUCUGGUAAUACUGGGUUUUUUGGUUUUGGUUUUGUUUUUUGAGACAGAGUCUCACUCUGUCACUCAGGCUGGAGUGCAGUGGUGUGAUCUCGGCUCACUGCAACCUCUGCCUCCUGGGUUCAAGUGAUUCUCCUGCUUCAGCCUCCUGUGUUGCUGGGAAUAUAGGUGCACGCCACCAUGCCUGGCUAAUUUUUGUACUUUUAGUAGAGACAGGGUCUCGCUAUAUUGGCCAGGCUGGUCCCUAAUUCCUGACCUCAAGUGAUCUACCCACCUCAGCCUCCCAAAGUGCUGGGAUUACAGGUGUCAGCCACCAUGACUGGCCAGGUGAUACUGUUUUGUUCAGUUAAUAGUGAGAUAAUUGUAUCAAAAUUAUGUAUUUAAGAGUUCUUGGCUGGGUGUGGUGGCUCACGUCUGUAAUCCCAGCACUUUGUGGGAGGCCAAGGCAGGUGGAUCACUUGAGAUCAGGAGUUCAAGACCAGCCUGGCCAACAUGGCAAAACCCUGUCUCUACUAAACACACACACAAUUAGCUGGGCAUGGUGGCAUGCACCUGUUAGCCCAGCUACUCAGGAGGUUGAGGCAUGAGAAUUGCUUGAACCCAGGUAGUGGAGGUUGCAGUGAGCCAAGAUAGCACCACUGCACUACAGCCUGGGCGACAGACUGAGACUCUGUGUCAAAAAAAAAAAAAAAAAAAGUUAUCAUUUAGAAGACAUGUGACUGACAUGUAUGUAAAUAAAAUGAUAAGGAGAAUUUGCUUUAAAAUAUUUCCAUAGAGAUAGGUGCAGGGAGGAGGAACAAAUGAGAUAAGAUUGGCCAUUUGUUGGUCAUUGUCGACACUAUGUAAUGGGUACAUGGGGGUUCAUUAUACUAUUCUAUUUUUGUGUAUGUUCAAAAUUUUCUACUAUUAAAAGUUUUUUUAAUUUUAAAAUAAAAAAUAAGUAAAAAUGGGAAAUUUAGAGGUAGACACUCAUGCAGGAAAAGUGCCAGGUGAAGAUGAAGGCAGGGAUCGUAGUGAAGCUUCUACAAGCCGAGGAUCACCAGCAAACCACCAGAAGCCAAGGGAGAGGCCAGGAACAGACUCUCCCCACAGCCCUCAGAAGGGUCCAACCCUGCUGACACCUUGAUCUUGGACUUCCAGCUUCCAGGACUGUGAAACAAGACAUUUCUUUGGUUCAAGCCACUCCCUUAGUGCACAUUGUUAUGGCAGCCAUGGAAAACCAUCCACAGAGGCCCUGGGCCCAGCUGCUGCAGGUGGCCAGGAAGGAGCCUGGGAGGAUGACGGGGUUCCUGAUCUGAUAGAACUGGGCUGUGACUAGGCAGAACCCUGUUCCACCACACACACCCCAGUGGAGGACGUUCUGUAUCUGUGAUGAAUGACCCCUGCAUACAUUAUAUCUUUCAGUAAAAACAGUGGUGUUUCAGUAGUGUUACUAGCUAAGCUGCUUAACUCUCACAUUACAGACGUCAGUGAAGCCCCUUGGUAGGUAGUGUCUAAAAUUAGAUUUAUCUGCUUAUUUACACAAUUAUACUCUCAUGAGUUUGAAUGUUGGGGAAAGAUCAAGAAAAAGACCAGAUCACUAGAUGGCAAUAGCACACAAGAGCUUUAUUUGGAUGAAGCUUGGACAGAAUGCAUGGAAGGGGAAAGUCCCUUGCAGCAGAAGACCUUCCAGAGGCAGUGGCAGGGCCACCACCAGAAGAAAAGGGCAAGGACACUCCCAGGGGAGAGGAGGAUCAGAGAGGAGGUUACAGGUCUAAGAGAUGUCACAGGUCUAGAAGAAAAGAAAAGGAGCCAGGUGCAGUGGCUCACACCUGUAAUCCCAGCACUUUGGGAGGCCCAGGCGGGCAGAUUGCUGAGUUCAGGAGUUUGAGACCAGCCUAGGCAAACAUGGUGAAACCCCAUCUCUAAAAAAAGAUUUAAAAAUUAACCAGGCCUGGUGGCAUGUACCUGAAGUCUCAUUUACUUGGGGGGCUAAGGCUGGAGGAUCGUUUGAACCCAAGAGGGUUCAUGGUGGGGAGCAUCAUGGUGAGGAGUCUCUGGGUCAGAGAGCUCCAAAGGACAGCAGCCAUUUGGGGUCUUUUGUAGCCCUGAGGUUCGUCUUACCUAUGGUGAGAGGGUGUCGGGUGUAGUUUUGCAAAUUAUCGAAGCAGGCAGGCUCUAAAUGGGCAAAUAAUAUUUGGCCUACAUUUAAAGCAAUUGGAUGUGCAAGAAUUUGAGUUUGGUGCUGGCAGGCUUGAGUUAACGGUCCUGGGCUGUGGUGUGGAAGUAAACAGCAUGGGGGCCAAUACACAGGGGCUGUCUUGAACUCGUUCAUACAAUCCAUUUAUAACCUGUUUAUAACUUGUUUAUAACCCAUUUAUACCACAUACCCCUAAAGCAAAUACCUAGCAGAUAGCAUGCAGGGCCUAUUUGCCUGGCCUCCUUCAAUGGCAUCACAUUCUCCACCACCACGAUGGUUAAUAUGGACGAGCCCUAGCAGCUGCCCAGUGAAGUCCACACGCUACUGCCCAAACCAGCUCAAGUCCUUAGUUGUCAUGAAAAUAAUGUGAGUUCCCACAGCCGUAAAAGGGAAAGCAGCAAGAGCCACAUGAGCAUCCCCGGAACCCUGGGAACAGUCAUCAGUGUCAUCUUCAGGGUCAUGUCCCUACAAGCAGUUCUCAGGCUCCUGCUGAGGGUCAGAACAGAGCCGAAGUCACAGGAUAUCAAAAAUGGAUAAGCCCAACCUCAGCUCGCAGAGGAAUUGCUCAGCUGACAGAUGAUUGUGUUAUCUCAGUGAAGCCAGAUGACAAUGUACUUGGCCAACGGAACAUCUUGGUCAAUGGAUCUCCAAGUUGGUUAUAAAAUUAAAGCAAAAUAAUGCCAUUAUAUGUAAGAUGUCAUUGAUUGUAAGAUGCUCCUUUAUUUGAUGUACCACUAAUAAAUAAAAACACUGACAUUUAAACAAUGACAAUUGCAUAACACAUCUGCUUGUUCAAUGUUAAAUAUGAAAAAAUGUGC